UACAUUUAGGUGUAUGAUGCACUUUAGUUUUUGAUACUAAAAGGGAUAGUUUGAUUCUAUCAUGUGUAA
rnacentral:tRNA from 1 species